GCAGUGUGCUUUGGAAGACUCCUCAACUUCUGUGGUGGCUGUGGGCAGCCUGUAUUAACCAGCAUGCUGGCAUGUGGUCUGGGGAAUGGAGCACUGAGUGUGUGCAGCAAAGUUUUGCUUCUUCCAUGGAGAUUAAGCUCCUUACGUUCACAGCAUUUCCAUUCCAAGAUGCUUAAAGAAUUAAAGCAUACAAAUAGAGAAGAUCUGCAAAGUGUUGUCAGAAACCCUGAUGUGAAUGCCAGCUAAAUGAAGGAAGCUGUAAAAGGACAAGAUUUACUGUGCAUCAUGAGAAGUUGCUUCUACCAGGCAUGUAGUUUUUUUGCCUGCCACAAGGACAACUUUAUCUGCAUUUAUCUGGCUGAGUUUGGCUGGUGAAGUCCAAGGCUGUGUGAUUCCUGAGCAGAGGAGCUGGCACGGUGAGGAGGCACAAAGGGACAAGAUGUCGACAGAUCUGCCAAGGCAGGAGCCAACUUUGGAGCCUGCGUUGUAAAUGCUUCUAUGCACUCACCAUCCCUUACUUCUGUGGAUACCCUUUAACUGUGGAACAGCCUUUUUGACAGCGGUGUGUGAGUAAAAUCUAUAGGACUGGGCUUUCUUGUGCUUCAGAGGGCCUUUCACAUUUGCCAUUGAGCUUCCAGUGAGAAGAAAAAUAACUGGGAACUGUAAUUAAACCUGGUAUGACAAAGCACCCUCUGUCUAUGCACUUCUACCCUUUCACCCCUCUGAUCUGCACUGUGUUUAUUAUGCAGUCUACAAGGGGUUUAUGCUAGAAUAAAAAUUAGUUUCCAAACUGUAUGGACAAGCAAAAAUAAUACAAAUGCAGAGCAUUUUGCAUUUGUAGAUGCAGAAUGCUAGACAAAAGUCUUGUCUAGAGGUGGUUGUUCUGCUUGGUUCCUGGAAGUCCAACUAUGUGCUUUGUUUAGUUCCUUCUAUAAAAGCUCUCAGGAUUGCUAGUUCUGAGUAGUUGACAUAUUUCAUCACUUGUGUUAGGGAUGGAGGAAAUGGGUAUAUAACUAGAAAAGCUUGUCAACAGAAGGAGGUUUAGCUAAACACCUAAGAUAUCUUCUUUCCAAAAAGGGAAGUCACAGAGAAGGGCGUUCAGUUCCUAGGCACAGAGGAAAGCUAGUUGGGACUUAACAUAUUUGCAUAUUCAGUGAGUGGUGCAGAUACAUCUCCUUCUCUUGAGUUGAGGAACAGUGAUUAUCUCCUUUACCAUGCACUUUAAAACCACUCUUGACAAAGUUUUUUAGCUACCUGAAAGUUCUGGCAGAGUUCCUUGCCAUGCUGCUGCAAAUACAGCUUGAGAGCCUCAGUAGUUAGAAGGUUUUGAUACAGCCACACUUGUGCUGAUGGUUACUGGAAGCAUGACUCUGUUUCUUCUGCUGUUUUCUCCUGUAAGGCUUUUUGUCCCAGGAUCCUUCUCUCCUGAUACAUCACUUUCCUUAAGCAACACCAAACAUCUUUUAAUCAAACGGAUAUGGGACACAGAAUAGACACACACAUAGAAGGACUGCUUGACUGUGAAUUGUGUGCACUCAAAUUCAGUGAGAUGAUGUCAGUGGAAGCAGCUAGGGAGGGAUCCUCCUCUUCAGUCUGAAGGAGAGGACAGCACCCAGAUGGUUUCUCAUCCAUGACCCGAGGGGUGGCUGCAUUUAAUACAUGUGUUCAAAAGCAAAGACGGAUGGAGAUGUGAGGAAGCAGAGUCACUGCCUUCCAUUAGCUGCUGCACUUCUGUGUCCUGCCUCCCUCCCUGCCCUAGCAGUUAUUGUCGUGUUGGGAAGCAGAUUCACCCCCCGUGAGAAAUCACGAGUGUUGAUUGUCAGAAAAUGAUCAACAAGUAAAGAAACAUGGCCUGCUGUGUGCAGGCUUGUGGGGUUUUUCUGAA